GAGCAGGAAAAGAACAAACAAUUCGCUUGUAACUUGAAAAGAGAAGUGCAGCCUAUCCCCACCCACCUCCAAAAGUUCUGUAUUCAAUCAUUUUGCAGAAAACCGGUAAGGGGAUAGGUAUGGGGAUCUCUGAGCAACUGAAACAACGUGCCACACCAGGGAUGAGAGUGAUUUAGGCUGCAAUAUUAACUUCGUCUACACAGAGAUGGGGAGAGUUACCAUGAAGGAAAAGGCAGUUGACAAAAUGAAUUUGAAAUUAAGAUAGUAACUAUUGUAGGGAUGGGGAACCCCCCCC